AACGAACGCUGGCGGCAUGGCUAAGACAUGCAAGUCGCACGGACCGUAUAGCAAUAUGCGGUUAGUGGCGAAAGGGAGAGUAAUGAAUAGGUAAUGUACCUUGGACACAGGGAUAACGCCGGGGGCAACCCCUUUACGAAAGUGGCGCUAAUACCUGGUGAAGUCGGGACGGGGCAUCCCGUUGCGACCAGAGGGCGGGGAUCGUAAGACCUGCCGGUCUGAGAGCAGCCUAUUUCCAUCACCUAGUUGGUGAGGUAACGGCUCACCAAGGAUCGACGGGUAGCGGGUGUGAGAGCACGAUCCGCCUCAUCGGGACUGAGACACUGCCCGGACACCUACGGGUGGCUGCAGUAACGAAUAUUGGGCAAUGGGCGCAAGCCUGACCCAGCAAUGCCGCGUGGCGGGAGGAAGUCCCUCGGGAUGUAAACCGCUUUUGGGGUAGACAAGCGAUGCGGGUGAACAAUCCG
rnacentral:rRNA from 1 species